GCUUUAUCCACGGCGGUGAGCAAGGGGGAAUGAAUUGCGGCUAGCCGGAGUGGCUUCCAAGUCACCGGCGGCGAAGAUAUUUUGACCCUGCGACGUUAUCGACUUACCCCGAGCGUGAAUCUUGAUGCAGGCGACGCGAAUCACGGCGGGGGAGGUCACCGGUGGUGGGAUUUUUCUGUCGCGUCCGAUCUGAUCCGUUGGGGACACUGUACCAUCGCGAGCUCCCAUCAGAGCACCUGACAGCCAAUCUUUGGUCUGGUUUUUCUCUCAAAUCU
rnacentral:lncRNA from 7 species